UACGUAGGGAGCGAGCGUUGUCCGGAUUUACUGGGUGUAAAGGGUGCGCAGGCGGCUCUGCAAGUCAGGCGUGAAAGCUAGGGGCUCAACCCCUAAACUGCGCUUGAAACUGUGGAGCUUGAGUGAAGUAGAGGCAGGCGGAAUUCCCGGUGUAGCGGUGAAAUGCGUAGAGAUCGGGAGGAACACCAGUGGCGAAGGCGGCCUGCUGGGCUUUAACUGACGCUCAGGCACGAAAGCAUGGGUAGCAA
rnacentral:rRNA from 1 species